AAAAAGAUACAUAGUUGGCUUACAAUCGCCACUUCACACAAUUACAUGAAUAAAGCAUUACAUCAUCCAAAUAAAAUCAAGGUCUGACUACGGAACCAAAAUAAAAGAAGACUAUCCCAAAUGCUUCACAGAUCCCCGAUCGACCCCAACUGGGCUCCACUACUGAUCAACUGGAAAAUGGAACAACAUAAAGAACACGAUCUUCAACGAGCUCCUCCUUUGAGCUUGGUUGCGUCAUCUGCACGGUUCAACGGCACCUGCAAGCUGGUUUUGGAAGUAUCUGUGAGUCACGGGGACCCAGCAAUCUCACACCCUCGCGAUCAAGACUAUUUAAGCUUAUGGGUAAGGUAAAAGGUAUGAGGUGGAGCUGCAGCAAGCGACUAGCAUAUAUGGUGGCUAACAUAUGCAAAUGAGAGCGAGAAGAGAAGGCAAAGCACGGUCGAGAAAUCUAUGAUCAAGAAGUGAUCCUAAAACAACCUACGUCAAGCAUAACUCGAACACCGUGUUCACUUCCCGAAGUCCGCCGAAAAGAGACCAUCACGGUUACACACGCGGUUGGUGUAUUUUAAUUAAGAUCAAGUUCAGGUUUUCUACAACCGGACAUUAACAAAUUCCCAUCUGCCCCUAACCGCAGGCAUGACUUUCAAAAGUUCAAAUCCCUGCAGGGGUGUCCCAACUUAGCCCAUCACAAGCUCUCACGGUCAAUGAAGGAUAUUCCUUCUAGCGGGAAGACCCGAUCAGGCUCGGAAUCCCGGUUACAAGACAUCCUCGACAAUGGCAAAACAAGUCCAGCAAGACCGCCCGAUGCGCCGACAUCCUGAUGGGAGCUACACAUAUCUCAUUCUCAGGGCAACACCGGAUGAACACUACGUACAGCUAAAACCAGCCCUCAAGUUUCCCCGAGGUGGCGCCGCAAGUGGCUCUGUUUCGGACCAACACUUAGACAAGCACUGGCCCGGGGGGGUUAAAAUAAAGAUGACCCUUGGGAUGCGCGACUCCCAAGGGAAAAGGCUAGGUGGCGAAUGUUAAAAGCUAGGUUGGGCCUUGCUGGAGGAGUUUUAUUCAAGGCGAACUGUCAAGGGGUUCCCAUUAUAACCCAACCGCGUAAGGAACGCAAAAACCGGGAACAUAACACCGAUAUGACGGAAACUAGGGCGGCAAGAGUGGAACAAAACACCAGGCAUAAGGCCAAGCCUUCCACCCUUUACCAAGUAUAUAGAAGCAUUAAUUAAAUAAGAGAUAUUGUGAUAUCCCAACAAGUAAACAAUGUUCCAGCAAGGAACGAUCUCCAUGUUCCAACAAGGAACAAACUUCAAUCUUCACCUGCAACUAACAACGCUAUAAGAGGGGCUGAGCAAAGCGGUAACAUAGCCAAACAACGGUUUGCUAGGACAAGGUGGGUUAGAGGCUUGGCUCAACAAUAUGGGAGGCAUGAUAAGCAAGUGCUAGGUAUCGCAUCAUAGGCAUAGCAAAAGAGCGAGCAACUAGCAAGCAAAGUUAGAAGUGAUUUCGAGGGUAUGGUCAUCUUGCCUGAGAUCCCGCAAGGAAGAAGAACGAGUACAUGAAGAAGACAAACGGACGUAGUCAAACGGGUCCUCACAAACGCGACGUUACCGAAUUACCGAGAAGAAGUACACCGGAAAGGAAAACAAACAACAUAGUAAACAACCAUCACAUAAUCAUGGCAUGAUGCACAAUCAAGUAUGAUGCAUGUCCGGUUUAAAUAUGCAUGGCAUGGCAAAGUGCACAAACAAUCCUACAAAUUAAGUGGAGCUCAUUAUGCAACAGAGUUGCAUAUUGAAGAAAACACCACAUGACUUAUUUAGUUCUCUCUCGUUUAUGUACCCAACAAGAUUAAAU
rnacentral:lncRNA from 1 species